UCCACUAUGGUCUAACGGUUAAGACCCCCUGCCUUGUUCGCUGGUCGCCGGCAGAGAGCGGAGGUUCGAUCCAUCUUGGUGGAU